CAGAUAUUACUCCAGACCAUAUCGUAAGCUCCUGAUAAUUCUUGAGGUAAACGUUUGCCUUUAAUCACCCUGAACCCAUCAAAGUGAGUGCGGUACGCCGGGAAAACGACACUGGACGUCAGGAGGGGAGUCAAUGGCCGGUACGCUAAUAAAUUUAGCGUCGAAUUUUGUCUGAUCUUGAGCAAAAGGGGAAGUAUUAAAACGGUUCUGCUGCCAAUUCGCGCAAGAUUUUUCAGAUAAUUUGUGCAAAAAUGCGCAGGCUCACUUUUUGUGGGGAAAUUAAAUGGAGAAAAAUUGAUGAGCACCGAUCUUAAGUAUUCACUCUUCACCACCGUCAUCGUUCUGAGCGUGAUCGUUUUCGGCGCGCUGACCGCUGCACUGCAUUGAUCU
rfam:Enterobacter cloacae S611 EDP2.NODE_1923, whole genome shotgun sequence.